rnacentral:lncRNA from 12 species
CAUCCAGCAGCCAACCUGGCACUCCUAUUUAGGCCUCGGAGUUUCUAGAUCUGGCCCAACACUCAGAGCCAGGUUGGGGUCUUCUCCUGUUGAACAUAAACAUUUCCCACAACGUCCAUAUCAAUCGAUGAUAUUUUGUGACUUUGAGGGAUCAUGACCCAAUGAAGACCUUUUCCAACAAUGCCUGAACACUGACAGAAACAAGAACAUUGUCCAAACACUGUCACAAAAAUCACUAAACUUUCCUUUUCCUGCCUGGUAAGAGUACUGCUUCUUUAUCAGUGACAGCUUGAGCCUGGCUUCAUUCCUCCUGCAACUUUAGUAAGAUUUAUUAAAGAUAAUAACUUUAAGCCCAUUCUAACACCCUUAUACCACGUGGCUCUACAGUUCCUCACGGUGUGUGUUUGCCCUCAUUGCAAUGAGUCAAUAGACCCUACUUUUGUUUAAUUAAAGAUGUGUUUCUGAUUGUCAUUGACUGGGGGCCAUUGAACUAAACUAAGGUUUAGAGGGCUAUAUAGAGAAGUCCAACAGCCUGUAUUAAAUACUUGACCUUGAAAUACAUACAUUUAUUUCCACGUCUUCACUCUUAAAGCCAAACCAAUAAUUUCAUAGCAGAGUAAGCAUUUGGGGUACAACAAGUCAUGAUUCAAGUUUUCUCUGACCAAUAGGUUUAUAUCUCUAAGAAGAGAAAUGAUAGAUGGCAGAGAGACAGGAAAUACAGCGAAGAGGAUUUUGAGGGAAACAGAACUCUUAACUUCUUAAGCAACAACUCUCAAGACCACUAACAAAAGUCUGGGUGAGACACAGUGCCCAUGAGGAGCAGGAGCCACGUGGCCACUGAGGAUGACACAUUCGAUCUGAGAAGACCAGGGCGUUGCAGCAGAGGCUUUCCAUGCUGCAGUCAGAGAAACUCGUGGUCCAAGAAGAGCUGAGUCCAAUCAAAUAGAGACAGUGAGAAUUACUAUUUUGAUUUUUCACAAAGACUAAGUAAAAUGUCAGAUAAAAACAUGUAUUAAGGUGCAAUCUAUUUUCGAGGUUAAAAGUAUGGAUUAAAUACAGAGAAGCUGGGUUUGAAACCUUGGCUCUACUGUUUCUCUCUACGUGGUCUUGGGUAAAUUACUUGACCUCUCAAGACCUAUUUCCUCAUUAGCAAAAUGGAAGUAAUAAUAGUAUCUGUGCAAUAAAA